rnacentral:pre_miRNA from 1 species
UAAACAUGAUAACUUGAAUGACAAUCUAUAUGUACUUCAUGUUAAUUUUUUUUGAAUUUUUAUAAUUUUAAAUAUAAUCUAUUUUAUAGUUUUUAAAAUUAUUUGUUGACAUGGCAUAUAAGACAUAGUACCAUGUCAGCAUGAAAGUACAUGUGGACUGUCAUAUGGGUUGUUACACUAA